UGCUAAUGAUACAGUCCACCAUUUCACUUCCUCUGCAAAAAUCUGUUCUUGUUCCAGCUAAAAUUGCAACAAGUGGGAGUAAAAAUGGUUGUUUUCUUGAUUUAAAUGGUCGGUGUGGUUCAAAAUCAGCUUCUUAUCACUUUCCAAGAAGACCCAUUAAGGGAAAUUCAAUUCAGCUGAAGAUUUAUGCCAGGAAAUCAGAAUCACUCCCAAUUUUGCUUUCAGAGAAAGUUGAUGAAUUGCCAGAGAUGUUGCUGAAUGGCGGAGAUAUUACCAUUAGUAGUGGGGAGAUUCUUUCUCUAUCAGCUUUCUCAUGUGGAUCUAUCUUCUGGUUGACAUCUGGGCAAGUGGCAUUAGCAAGUGAAGGUGUCAGAGUAAAUAUGGUUUAUGAGGUCGGGGAAUUAUUUGAACUGGGAAUCCAGCUUACUUACCUGCUUUUACUACUAGCAUUGCUUGGGGUUGGAAGUUUCUUUGUGAUUCGGCAAGUCCUUGUCCGCAGAGAGCUUGAUCUUUCUGCCAAA
rnacentral:misc_RNA from 1 species